AACGAACGCUGGCGGCAGGCCUAACACAUGCAAGUCGAACGCCCGUAGCAAUACGGGAGUGGCAGACGGGUGAGUAACGCGUGGGAACGUGCCCUUCGGUUCGGAAUAACUCAGGGAAACUUGAGCUAAUACCGGAUACGUCCGUAAGGAGAAAGAUUUAUCGCCGAAGGAUCGGCCCGCGUCGGAUUAGCUAGUUGGUGAGGUAACGCCACAAGGCGACGAUCCGUAGCUGGUCUGAGAGGAUGAUCAGCCACACUGGACUGAGACACGGCCAGACUCCUACGGAGGCAGCAGUGGGAAUAUUGGACAAUGGGCGAAAGCCUGAUCCAGCCAUGCCGCGUGAGUGAAGAAGGCCUUA
rnacentral:rRNA from 1 species